rnacentral:rRNA from 1 species
AUUGAACGCUGGCGGAAUGCUUUACACAUGCAAGUCGAGCGGCAGCGCGGGGGCAACCCUGGCGGCGAGCGGCGAACGGGUGAGUAAUACAUCGGAACGUGUCCUUAAGUGGGGGAUAGCUCGGCGAAAGCCGGAUUAAUACCGCAUAAGCUCUGAGGAGGAAAGCGGGGGCUCCGUAAGGACCUCGCGCUGUUGGAGCGGCCGAUGUCGGAUUAGCUAGUUGGUGGGGUAAAGGCCCACCAAGGCGACGAUCCGUAGCUGGUCUGAGAGGAUGAUCAGCCACACUGGAACUGAGACACGGUCCAGACUCCUACGGGAGGCAGCAGUGGGGAAUUUUGGACAAUGGGGGCAACCCUGAUCCAGCCAUUCCGCGUGAGUGAAGAAGGCCUGGUCGUAAGAC